rnacentral:rRNA from 1 species
GACAGAGGGUGCAAACGUUGCUCGGAAUUACUGGGCGUAAAGCGCGUGUAGGCGGACUGGUAAGUCGGACGUGAAAUCCCUGGGCUCAACCCAGGAACUGCAUCCGAAACUAUCAGUCUGGAGUGGUGGAGAGGGAAGCAGAAUUCCUGGUGUAGAGGUGAAAUUCGUAGAUAUCAGGAGGAACACCGGUGGCGAAGGCGGGUCUCUGGACAGUUCCUGACGCUGAGGCGCGAAGGCCAGGGGAGCAAACGGG